rnacentral:RNase_P_RNA from 1 species
CGAGUCGGUCAGGCGGUCGCGUCGCCGGCCCUGCGCGUGCGCGGGAUCGGUGCCGAGGAACGUCCGGGCUCCGCAGGGCAGGGUGGUGGCUAACGGCCACCCGGAGUGAUCCGAGGGACAGUGCCACAGAAAACAGACCGCCGUGCCGAACCGCUGGCCCCGGGCCGGCAGGCGGUGCGGUAAGGGUGAAACGGUGGUGUAAGAGACCACCAGCGGCCGGGGUGACCCGGCCGGCUUGGUAAACCCCACCCGGAGCAAGCUCGAGCAGUCGACGACCGAGGGCGGCCCGCCCGAUGCCGACGGGUAGAGCGCUGGAGCCGGUCAGCAAUGGCCGGCCGAGAUGGAUGACCGCCACCGUGGGGGCGGCGGUGCCUCGCACCGCGGCACCACGGGACAGAACCCGGCGUACCGACCGACUCGUCCA